AAUUUUUUUUAAAAACUGAAUUCAAGCAAAAAUUGUUUCAUCCAAUAGUGAAAAUGGAUAUUGUUUGGAUACAAGCUUCAUAGUCUGUUCUUGAUGUUAUAAAUCAGAAUACAGAUUUAACUCAUUACACUAGGGUACAAAUUUGGUGUUGAAUUUGUUACGAGUACUGAUCAUCCUAAUUCUUGUGUGGAAAUUUCAAAUCUGAAAAUAGUUAACUCCUCUUAAAAUCUCCUGGAGCCUUUCAAAUGAGUUUGCAGCGUUGUCCAAUGAAUCCUGGAAAUAUAGGGUCACAAAGUGCCAAAAGGAUUACUAUACAAUACAGAAUAUACUGACAUUUCUAAUGGAAAAAAAGAACGAUGGAAACGAAAUAAAACAUUUAAAUUGAUGAAAGAUCUUGCAAGCUUUAUGAAAACAAAAUUUCUUGAGAAAAAAAUAGUUGGCACAACUGUGAAACGUUCUAUCUGAGAGCCAAAGAGGAUG